CGGGCGGACGGGUGAGUAAUGUCUGGGAAACUGCCUGAUGGAGGGGGGUAACUACUGGAAACGGUAGCUAAUACCGCAUAACGUCGCAAGACCAAAGAGGGGGACCUUCGGGCCUCUUGCCAUCGGAUGUGCCCAGAUGGGAUUAGCUAGUAGGUGGGGUAAAGGCUCACCUAGGCGACGAUCCCUAGCUGGUCUGAGAGGAUGACCAGCCGCACUGGAACUGAGACACGGUCCAG
rnacentral:rRNA from 1 species